AACGAACGCUGGCAGCAGGCUUAACACAUGCAAGUCGAGCGCCCCGCAAGGGGAGCGGCAGACGGGUGAGUAACGCGUGGGAAUCUACCCAUCCCUACGGAAUAGCUCCGGGAAACUGGAAUUAAUACCGUAUACGCCCUACGGGGGAAAGAUUUAUCGGGGAUGGAUGAGCCCGCGUUGGAUUAGCUAGUUGGUGGGGUAAAGGCCUACCAAGGCGACGAUCCAUAGCUGGUCUGAGAGGAUGAUCAGCCACAUUGGGACUGAGACACGGCCCAAACUCCUACGGGAGGCAGCAGUGGGGAAUAUUGGACAAUGGGGGCAACCCUGAUCCAGCCAUGCCGCGUGAGUGAUGAAGGCCUUAGGGUUGUAAAGCUCUUUCACCGGGGAAGAUAAUGACGGUACCCGGAGAAGAAGCCCCGGCUAACUUCGUGCCAGCCGCCGCGGUAAAAC
rnacentral:rRNA from 1 species